CCUACGGGGGGCUGCAGUGGGGAAUUUUGGACAAUGGGCGAAAGCCUGAUCCAGCCAUGCCGCGUGCGGGAAGAAGGCCUUCGGGUUGUAAACCGCUUUUGUCAGGGAAGAAAUCUUUCGGGCUAACACCUCGAGAGGAUGACGGUACCUGCAGAAUAAGCACCGGCUCACUACGUGCCAGCAGCCGCGGUAAUACGUAGGGUGCAAGCGUUGAUCGGAGUUAGUGGGCGUAGAGGGUGAGCAGGGGGUUGAAAUCCCCGGGCUUAACCUGGGAACUGCACUUGUGACUGCACAGCUGGAGUACGGCAGAGGGGGAUGGAAUUCCGCGUGUAGCAGUGAAAUGCGUAGAUAUGCGGAGGAACACCGAUGGCGAAGGCAGUCCCCUGGGCCUGUACUGACGCUCAUGCACGAAAGCGUGGGGAGCAAACAGGAUUAGAUACCCUAGUAGUC
rnacentral:rRNA from 1 species